rnacentral:rRNA from 1 species
GCAGCCGCGGUAAUACGUAGGGGGCAAGCGUUAUCCGGAUUUACUGGGUGUAAAGGGAGCGUAGGCGGUCUGGCAAGCCAGAAGUGAAAGCCCGGGGCUCAACCCCGGGACUGCUUUUGGAACUGUUAGACUAGAGUGUCGGAGAGGUAAGUGGAAUUCCUAGUGUAGCGGUGAAAUGCGUAGAUAUUAGGAGGAACACCAGUGGCGAAGGCGGCUUACUGGACGAUAACUGACGCUGAGGCUCGAAAGCGUGGGGAGCAAACAGGAUUAGAUACCCC